rnacentral:rRNA from 1 species
UAGGGAAUCUUCGGCAAUGGGGGCAACCCUGACCGAGCAACGCCGCGUGAGUGAAGAAGGUUUUCGGAUCGUAAAGCUCUGUUGUAAGAGAAGAACGUGUGUGAGAGUGGAAAGUUCACACAGUGACGGUAACUUACCAGAAAGGGACGGCUAACUACGUGCCAGCAGCCGCGGUAAUACGUAGGUCCCGAUCGUUGUCCGGAUUUAUUGGGCGUAAAGCGAGCGCAGGCGGUUUAAUAAGUCUGAAGUUAAAGGCAGUGGCUUAACCAUUGUUCGCUUUGGAAACUGUUAAACUUGAGUGCAGAAGGGGAGAGUGGAAUUCCAUGUGUAGCGGUGAAAUGCGUAGAUAUAUGGAGGAACACCGGUGGCGAAAGCGGCUCUCUGGUCUGUAACUGACGCUGAGGCUCGAAAGCGUGGGGAGCAAACAGG